UGUGGAUCACUCAGGUGUGUGUCUACAUCAUGCCAAGAAAAAAAGGACAUCAGCCAUGACCUCAGAGAAGCAAUUAUUGCUGCUCAUCAAUCUGGGAAGGGUUAUAAGGCCAUCUUCAAACAAUUUGGAAUUCACUAUUCUGCAGUGAGGUGGAUCGUUGAUUGGCCUUGAAGACAAUUGCCAAUCAAAUUCUAUUCAGGGUCAGACAAUUUAAUGAUCAGACAUAUAAACAAAAACCCAAGACCUACAUCACGUGACCUACAGGCUUCUGGAUGCACAUUACAUAUUUAUGUUCAUGACAGCACAAUUAGAAAAAGACCAAACAAGUAUGGCUUUCAUGCAAGGGUGGCUAUGGAAAAGCCCCUUCUCUCCAAAAAGAAUAUGGCAAAAGAACUUAGGUUUACAAAAUUGCAUCCGAUUAAACCACAAAAGUUCAGAAAUAUGUUUGGUAAUUAUGCACAGCGCCAUGUUUGGCGGAAACCAAACACAGCGUAUCACCACAAACACUCUGACCAACUGUCAAGCACAGUGGUGGAGGGGUUAUGAAAUAGGUAUUUGUUUUGCAGCUACAGGACCUUGGGCACUGAGACAUCGAUGUUGUUGACGAAGUUGACAAAUCUAUCUGUGCUGUAGCAGAGCAAACAGGGGGGCUGUGCCGGGACCACCCAAAGGGGCACACUUUGGACCUAACCUGCCUCCUCUGAACAUGUAUCUUUGUUGUUUAGUUGAAUAUUUUGAAUAAAGUUUAGCUUGUGUGUGAUUGCAGCAAUGCAA